UACGGAGGGUGCAAGCGUUAUCCGGAUUCACUGGGUUUAAAGGGUGCGUAGGUGGACUGGUAAGUCCGCGGUGAAAUCCCCGAGCUUAACUCGGGAACUGCCGUGGAUACUAUUAGUCUUGAAUAUCGUAGAGGUAAGCGGAAUAUGUCAUGUAGCGGUGAAAUGCUUAGAUAUGACAUAGAACACCUAUUGCGAAGGCAGCUUACUAUGCGAUCAUUGACACUGAGGCACGAAAGCGUGGGGAGCAAACAGG
rnacentral:misc_RNA from 1 species